rnacentral:rRNA from 1 species
UACGGGGGGAGCAAGCGUUGUUCGGAUUUACUGGGCGUAAAGGGCGCGUAGGCGGCCACCGCAAGUCGGUUGUGAAAUCUCCGGGCUUAACCCGGAAAGGUCAAUCGAUACUGCGGGGCUAGAGUGCAGAAGGGGCAACUGGAAUUCUCGGUGUAGCGGUGAAAUGCGUAGAUAUCUGGAGGAACACCGGUGGCGAAGGCGGCAUCCUGGACCAAUAUUGACGCUGAGGAGCGAAAGCCAGGGGAGCAAACGGG